GCCUGGUUAACUCAGUCGGUAGAUCAUUAGACUUUUAAUCUGAGGGUCGGGGGUUCAAGUCCCCCAUCGGGUG
rnacentral:tRNA from 1 species